CCUACGGGAGGCAGCAGUGGGGAAUAUUGCACAAUGGGGGAAACCCUGAUGCAGCGACGCCGCGUGAAUGAAGAAGGCUUUCGGGUUGUAAACUUCUUUUCUCAGGGACGAAGCAAGUCACUGUACCUGUGGAAUACGCCACGGCUCACUACGUGACAACAGCCGCGGUAAGACGUAGGUGGCAAGCGUUAUCCGGAUGUACGGGGUGUAAAGGGCGUGUAGGCGGGUGUGCAAGUCAGAUGUGAAAACCCCGGGCUCAACCUGGGGCCUGCAUUUGAAACUGUAGUUCUUGAGUACUGGAGAGGCAGACGGAAUUCCUAGUGUAGCGGUGAAAUGCGUAGAUAUUAGGAGGAACACCAGUGGCGAAGGCGGUCUGCUGGACAGCAACUGACGCUGAGGCGCGAAAGCGUGGGGAGCAAACAGGAUUAGAUACCCCAGUAGUC
rnacentral:rRNA from 1 species